CCUACGGGAGGCAGCAGUGGGGAAUAUUGGACAAUGGGGGGAACCCUGAUCCAGCCAUGCCGCGUGUGUGAAGAAGGCCCUCGGGUUGUAAAGCACUUUCAGUGAGGAAGAACGCCUGGUGGUUAAUACCCAUCAGGAAAGACAUCACUCACAGAAGAAGCACCGGCUAACUCCGUGCCAGCAGCCGCGGUAAUACGGAGGGUGCGAGCGUUAAUCGGAAUUACUGGGCGUAAAGCGCGCGUAGGUGGCUUGAUAAGCCGGUUGUGAAAGCCCCGGGCUCAACCUGGGAACGGCAUCCGGAACUGUCAAGCUAGAGUGCAGGAGAGGAAGGUAGAAUUCCCGGUGUAGCGGUGAAAUGCGUAGAGAUCGGGAGGAAUACCAGUGGCGAAGGCGGCCUUCUGGACUGACACUGACACUGAGGUGCGAAAUCGUGGGUAGCAAACAGGAUUAUAUACCCGUGUAGUC
rnacentral:rRNA from 1 species